CCUGCCCCUCCCUCCCAUCUCAGCCAAGCCUCUCACUUGGGAACUUGGCAGGAAGCUUUGCAUGAGGGUUUGGAUUUAUAAGCUUUGUAACUGUUCUCUGAAUGCCACAGUGCACCUUCCCAGUGAUUCCUAGUUCUUAAUCUCCUAGGACUCUAUGUCCGCUCCCAAACACUAAAUAAUGGACGGUGAUAGAAGACAGUUGCUUUUUCCAGAACGGAGAGGCAGAAGAUGGAGACACCAAGUUGCAGGUGCUACCAUGACGCCAACUUGACUUCCCUGGGCAGACGAACCCACCAAUGUAUCCUGGAACCCCACCUCUCCAGAGCCCUGGCCCACUAAGGAAGAAUAGAAACAGACCAGGAGUAUGGAUCAACCUGCCAAUGCCCGUGUCCAGUGGAGAAGCAAUUACAGAAGCCAGACGUUCCACCUUCUGCACCCCAUAAUGAUCCUGGUUCCAUAAUCUCAGAGGGAUAAAGAAUAGGAAAACUUCCAAUGGAGGGGAUGGGAUACAGAACUCUGGUGUUGGGAAUUGUGUGUAAUUGGACCCCACUUAUCCUAUGGUCUUAUGGAUCAUUAUUAAAUCAAUUUAAAAAACUGCAUAAUCUGGGCUGGGGAGGCAGUAUAAUGGUUAUGCAAAAGACUUUUUUGCCUGUGGCUUCAAGGUCCCAGCACCACCAUAAGCCAGAGCUGAGCAGCCCUUCAGUGUCUUUCUCUAUCCCUCUCAUUAAAAUAAUCAAAUAAAGUGUUUUUUAAAAUUGCAGAA